rnacentral:rRNA from 1 species
UACGUAGGGUGCAAGCGUUAAUCGGAAUUACUGGGCGUAAAGCGUGCGCAGGCGGCUAUGUAAGACAGGUGUGAAAUCCCCGAGCUUAACUUGGGAAUUGCAUUUGUGACUGCAUGGCUAGAGUGUGUCAGAGGGAGGUGGAAUUCCACGUGUAGCAGUGAAAUGCGUAGAUAUGUGGAGGAACACCAAUGGCGAAGGCAGCCUCCUGGGAUAACACUGACGCUCAUGCACGAAAGCGUGGGGAGCAAACAGG